GGGGUUCUGGCUCCGUGGUAGAGUGCUUGCCUAGCAUGCAUGUGGCAGUGGGUUCAGUCCCCAGUACCACA
rnacentral:tRNA from 1 species